GACGAACGCUGGCGGCGUGCUUAACACAUGCAAGUCGAACGCUGAAGCUCAGCUUUUGUUGGGUGGAUGAGUGGCGAACGGGUGAGUAACACGUGAGUAACCUGCCCCCUUCUUUGGGAUAACGCCCGGAAACGGGUGCUAAUACUGGAUAUCCACUGGUCUUCGCAUGGGGGUUGGUGGAAAGGGUUUUUCUGGUGGGGGAUGGGCUCGCGGCCUAUCAGCUUGUUGGUGGGGUGAUGGCCUACCAAGGCUUUGACGGGUAGCCGGCCUGAGAGGGUGACCGGUCACAUUGGGACGGAGAUACGGCCCAGACUCCUGCGGGAGGCAGCAGUGGGGAAUAUUGCACAAUGGGCGCAAGCCUGAUGCAGCGACGCCGCGUGAGGGAUGGAGGCCUUCGGGUUGUGAACCUCUUUCGCUCAUGGUCAAGCCGCAACAAUGGUUGUGGUGAGGGUAGUGGGUAAAGAAGCGCCGGCUAACUACGUG
rnacentral:rRNA from 1 species